rnacentral:lncRNA from 1 species
AAAAAAGUCGAAACUGAAAGAUGGUUUACGGGUAAUGGAAUUAAAUCUAAAUUUUACUUACGGUCACCACGGACCACAGUGGUGAUGAGGAAAACAUUCCUCUCGUACGAAUCUCCUCGUCAGGUCGGGAUUCCCUGACUGCGCAUUUUUAUAAAGCCUCGACCGCGAAGAUAAAAUCCAGGGUCAGAAGCGAACUUUCGUCAACAUUUCAGCACACGAGGUCACGACCCCGAGGUGUCCAGAGAAGACAGAUGGAGGAGGUUCACACAGACAGGCGUGGCAGCGGGGAGCUGGACAGUUCGUCAGGGCCGCAGAUCGUCAAGGUCGCCCGCUCUCCUCAGGACCCGGUGCAGGGGGCGGAGUCUCGACCCCGGGAUUCGCAAGUCAGGAUUUCGGCCCUGGGGACGAGGGAGCAGGAGCUUCUUGAGGUGAACAGAAGCUGGUCGGAACAAUACUACAACAUGAAGCAGCACUACGAGCGGGAGAUCCUGCACAUGAAGCGGCAGGUGAAAGAAAGCUGGCGGAGAAGGUUGGAGCAGGAGGACGGCGAGAAAGAAGCAGCAGCGCAGGAGACGGAGGUGGCUGAAGGCUCGUGGAGGAUGGAGCAGCAGGUGGAGCGUCUCCGGCUGCAGGUCGACGCUCUGACCAGGAGAGGGCAGCAGCAGGACGAGGAGAUCCAGCGGCUGAACAGAGCGUUGAGAGCGUUUGUGGAGAAGCCCCGGGUGCAAACGGAACACGGGCGGGCUGAAGAGGAGGCGUGGCGUCAUCAGGCCCAGGUGUACAAGGAGGACUUCCUCAAGGAGCGGCGGGACAGGGAGAGACUGAAGGGGAAAAGCCUGGAGCUGGAGGGGAGGCUCGGCAAGCUCCACGCCGAGGUUCACGCUCUCCGUGGCCAGCUGAGGAGCCGCACAGGGGAUCGUACGAACCAGGCACAGGACCAGGAUGAAAAGUGUCAUCGGUGGCCGCCACGAUCUGCAGGACAAGACCAGAGGAAUAAUCCACGCUAAAACGAACUUAUUUCAUAUUCAUUUAUUGUUUGUACAUACCUACAUCUAUAUACCGUUCACUACUGAUACUUUCUUAUAAAUAAAACUAAUGAUUAGGGC